AUGGUCGUAUGCACCGCCCCGCUUGCCGAGAUCAUAGGCAGCCGGGAUGCAUCCGGUCGGGUGGCUAAAUGGGCCAUUGCGCUUGCACCUUACACAAUCUUCUACCAGCCCCGCACCGCCAUCAAGUCCCAAGCAUUGGCCGACUUCCUCGUCGACUGGGCCGAGACCCAGUACCUACCGCCGGCUCCCGACUCUACUCAUUGGCGGAUGCACUUCGAUGGGUCCAAGAUGCGCACCAGCUUGGGAGCCGGCAUCGUCCUCACCUCUCCCAAAGGCGACAAGCUCAGAUACACGCUGCAAAUCCACUUUGCCGCCUCCAACAACGUGGCUGAAUACGAGGCGCUCAUACACGGGCUCCGGCUAGCCAAAGAGCUCGGCAUACGCCGGAUCCUGUGUUAUGGCGACUCGGACUUGGUGGUCCAGCAGUCAUCUGGUGACUGGGACGCCAAGGAUGCAAACAUGGCGAGCUAUCGAUUCCUCGUCCAGCAGAUCAGUGGGUACUUCGAAGGGUGCGAGUUCCUUCACGUGCCACGGGCCGACAACGACGAGGCAGAUGCCCUGACACGAAGCACUUACCCCGGCUCUCAAAUAGGUCAGCAUUCUUCUGGGUCAGCUCCCGAGCCUGGGAGUUGA
rnacentral:rRNA from 1 species